GCAAGUCGAGCGGUAACAGAUCUAGCUUGCUAGAUGCUGACGAGCGGGGGACGGGUGAGUCACGCGUAGGAAUCUGCCCGGUAGCGGGGGAUAGCCCAGAGAAAUUUGGAUUAAUACCACAUACCCCAUAAGGGGGAAAGGAGGGGACUCUUCGGAGCCUUUCGCUAUCGGAUGAGCCUGCGUCGGAUUAGCUUGUUGGUGGGGUAAUGGCCUACCAAGGCGACGAUCCGUAGCUGGUCUGAGAGGAUGAUC
rnacentral:rRNA from 1 species